rnacentral:rRNA from 1 species
UACGUAGGGGGCAAGCGUUUGUCCGGAAUCAUUGGGCGUAAAGCGCGUGUAGGCGGCUCGAUAAGUCUGCUGUGAAAGUCCAGGGCUCAACCCUGGGAUGCGGGUGGAUACUGCCGGGCUCGAGUCCGGAAGAGGCGAGUGGAAUUCCCGGUGUAGCGGUGAAAUGCGCAGAUAUCAGGAGGAACACCAAUGGCGAAGGCAGCUCACUGGGACGGUAUUGACGCUGAGACGCGAAAGCGUGGGGAGCAAACAGG